rnacentral:rRNA from 1 species
AUUGAACGCUGCGGCAGGUUUAACACAUGCAAGUCGAGCGAGCGGAGGACGGGUAAGUAAUGCUUAGGAAUCUGCCUAUUAGUGGGGGACAACAGACCGAAAGGGAUGCUAAUACCGCAUACUAAUAGAUGAGCUUAAGGCGGAUUAGCUAGUUGGGGGGGUAAGGGCCUACCAAGGCGACGAUCUGUAGCGGGUCUGAGAGGAUGAUCCGCCACACUGGGACUGAGACACGGCCCAGAAUCCUACGGGAGGCAGCAGUGGGGAAUCUUGGGCAAUGGGGGGAAGUCUGAUCCAGCAAUGCCGCGUGUGUGAAGAAGGCCUUAUGGUUGUAAAGCUCUGUUAGUGGGGAGGCGUUACUCGCAGAGUAAGCACCGGCUAACUCUGUGCCAGCAGCCGCGGUAAUAC